AUGAAGCCCAAGUCCCGAAACCCUAGCUUGCCUCCUGGACUGGCUGGAGAAGAAGGUGGGGGUCGCUCAUCAUUCUUUUCCUCUGCCCUGAGAAGAAACAUGGGAAGGCUGAAUUUUCGCGUGAGGGCCCCGCUAGCCAGGCCAGCCCUGCGCCUAAGUCCCUGCCAGCUCCCGGGCCGGUGGGCACCUGUCCGGCUGAGUGGGGUCGCUCUAGGGGGCGGCAGCGGAGUUUCAGGGCGCGGGGGGGGCACUGGGCGGAACCCGGCAAUUCUGGUCGGUGGGAGAGGAGGGUGGAGACCGGACUCCGGGCCUGGGGGUGCACGAGGGCGUCCCGCUCCCCGGAACCACCAGUCCUGCGCGCCGCCUCUCAGUGCUGUCGCCGUGACAACCGGCGCCGCGGAGGGGCGGGCGCCGGGACUGCGCUCCCAGGCCCCAGGUCCCGCGGCGCUGGCGGGCCGAGGGGCGCGGGGCGGGGCGUCUGGAUCGGGGCGGUGCCGCGGGCGGGAGGGGGCGCGGAGGAGCCGGCGAGGCCCCGGCAGUGGUGGCAGAGGCUGGGCGGGCGGGCCCGGGAACGGCGCAGCAUCUGCGGGCGGCGGGGUAGGCGCGGGCGCGGGCGGGACUGGCUGGGUGCGCGGCUGGCCUGCGGAGGGGGGCAGCGGGCCUGGCGACCCUGGCACCUGGGCCGGGGGCCAAUGCGGCAGGGUGAGGCCUGGGGCCGGCGGGGUGAAGGGGACCCGGCCCUGCGUGGGAAGCCUCGGGGGACAAGCAGACGCAGCCUGCUGGGAGCGGCCCAAGCUCCACCGGCCCGCGGCAGGAGGCAGCAGUCCUCCCGCCCUCCCGGGGCCCGAGGGCUGGUUCUGGGGCGGGGAUCCUUGCGGGGCGCGGGCAGUGAAGAGCCUGGAGGCCCCAGAGUCUGUGCCAGGUCUGAGCUGCGGGGCGUGGGGGAGGAGGGGCCUCGGCCGGGGCCCAGGAGACCCAGGACAGGUGGGCCUGGGGCCAGGUCCCUAG
rnacentral:lncRNA from 1 species